GCAAGUCGAGCGGGCGUAGCAAUACGUCAGCGGCAGACGGGUGAGUAACGCGUGGGAACGUACCUUUUGGUUCGGAACAACACAGGGAAACUUGUGCUAAUACCGGAUAAGCCCUUACGGGGAAAGAUUUAUCGCCGAAAGAUCGGCCCGCGUCUGAUUAGCUAGUUGGUGAGGUAAUGGCUCACCAAGGCGACGAUCAGUAGCUGGUCUGAGAGGAUGAUCAGCCACAUUGGGACUGAGACACGGCCCAAACUCCUACGGGAGGCAGCAGUGGGGAAUAUUGGACAAUGGGGGCAACCCUGAUCCAGCCAUGCCGCGUGAGUGAUGAAGGCCCUAGGGUUGUAAAGCUCUUUUGUGCGGGAAGAUAAUGACGGUACCGCAAGAAUAAGCCCCGGCUAACUUCGUGCCAGCAGCCGCGGUAAUACGAAGGGGGCUAGCGUUGCUCGGAAUCACUGGGCGUAAAGGGUGCGUAGGCGGGUCUUUAAGUCAGGGGUGAAAUCCUGGAGCUCAACUCCAGAACUGCCUUUGAUACUGAGGAUCUUGAGUUCGGGAGAGGUGAGUGGAACUGCGAGUGUAGAGGUGAAAUUCGUAGAUAUUCGCAAGAACACCAGUGGCGAAGGCGGCUCACUG
rnacentral:rRNA from 1 species